AAAUCCAACAGCAGCGUGAUCUUGGACUUCCUAGCCUUCAGAACUGCGAGGGAAACUUUCUCAUCAGGGACGUCUUAACUGGACAAUCCAGGCUUGGACCUCAGCAGAGGGUCAUUGCUAGGGGACAGAGAAAUAAGACCUCCUACAGUCAGUACUUCCCUUGAUGGCGGUGAAUGACCAGGAGUGGACAAAAUAAGGGUGCUUCCCAAAGUGUUCUGAAGAACAGCAGUCCUUUGACGUACUCUAAAAAGACCAACUUCUCAGUCAAUAUGCAGAUUUCUCGAAAAACUAAAAAUGGAACUACCACAGAUUCCAGCUAUUCCACUACUGGGUAUUUCUCCAAAGAACAUGAAAUCAACAAUUUAAAGAGACUUAUGCACCCCUAUGUUCAUUGCAGCGUUAUUCAUAAUAGCCAAGAUGUGGAAACAACCCAAGUGCCUAUCAACUGAUGAUUGGAUAAAGAAGAUGUGGUGUGUAGAUAUAUACAAUGGAAUACUACUUAACCAUAAAAAAGACAAAAUUGUCCCAUUUGCAACAACAGGGACAGACCUUGAGGCUAUUAUGCUAAGUGAAAUAAGUUAGAGAAAGACAAACACCAUAUCAUUUCACUGGUGAAAAAACAAGUAUCUGCAGGUGAAGCAUCUUGGUCAAGUCCCCACGGGAAAGGAGAGCUAAAAUCCAGUCUGAGUUUUCCGACGUCAGAGCCCAGGCUGGACGUGUUGCAGCUGAAGCCCAAUAAGCUUGGAUUAUAGCUGUUAGGGUCAAGUCUAUUGUCCAUUGUCAGUCUUCCUAUUGGAAAUAUUUCGAACGUGCAGAUCUUAAUCUGGAGCACUCAUGAACCAUAUUCCUACGAGCGUUGCUUGCUCCAACACCUUCGGCAGAAUGAUUGGGCCAUGAACAGAUAAGUGGAAAUGGCUCAUCUUGCUCUUCUCCAAGAUGCUUUCUGUCUCUCUUUGUUUUCUCUGUGACUACAGCCUCUGGGUUUUAUCCUUUUCUUAUAGCAACCUGGAGGGAAUCUUGUAAGUCCAACUUGAAAUGAGUCAUUGGACAGCAGCACUGGAGGCAGUGAAACGUCCCACGUAAAGCUGAUAUCUCUUCAGUCUGCAAAGCUAAGGAAUCACCACCUGUUUACUCAUUCCGUGAUCACUAUUGUAUAAGCUACAUAAACUACGAGGAGGAGAAAUGGGGUCUGGAAGUUCUUUUACAACAUGUAUAUAACUUAGUUUAUUAUUAGCACCUGGAAGGCAUCUCAAUCAGUAUUCAUUCCUUUGAAACUUUUAAGUUGAGAAAUAUUUCUCUUUUAUGAAAGGGAACAUUUUAGGGAAGAUCAGCAGUUCUCCAGCUAGUGUGGAUAACACAGAGAUACUAAGUGGAGGAAGCUCGUGUGCAGCAAGAAGAAGAGGAUGCUUCCAGGUCCCGCCUGCCGUGAGGACGCUGCAGCAAACACAGGGGCACAGAUGUCCUUUCCAAUUAGUGUCUUCACAGUCUUUGGAUAAACACCCAGAAGUGGAAUAGCUGGAUUAUGUGGUAGUUGUAUUCUUAAUUGUUUGAGGAAUCUCCUUACUGUUUCAUCUGAAAUUUAUAGAACGUUAUAAAUCAAUGUUACCUCAAUAAAAUUAAAAAAUAAAUUUUAAAAAAA
rnacentral:lncRNA from 1 species